rnacentral:lncRNA from 10 species
CUAUUUUCAGACCACAGCUGACCACGGUUGACUACGGGUACUGAAACUGUGAAAGCGAAACCUUCCUUAACGGAGAGGGAUUACUUUACUAAAGGAUCUUUUUGCUUCCAACUCUCUCCAUUUUUCUCUUCUAGACUUCUACCAUAGAAUAUGACCCAAGGAAUGUUAUUAAUGAUCACCUCUUCCUCUACAUUUUCCAAUGGCUUCUGAAAAGAUUGUAAUGACUAUACUUAUACCUAAACAAGUAAUAAAUAAAUACAUUUAGCUCCCUUACCAUGAGUAUUGAAUCAACAUUUGAAAACAAAGUAAUCAACCUUUGGCAAUUUGGACUUUGUAUUCUCCAGUGAAUGAAGGAUAACAAUUAGACAUGGAGAUACUUGGUUUAGCAGAGCAGGGUAAGUAUCCUAAACUAAGGGGUUGACACUUGAAAGUUUCUUUGUCCAGAGACCACUAUUUCCUCCUAUAAUAAAUGGCUUGUGUUUGCCAGAAGUAAUGUUCAAUCUAUAACCACAGAUGAAAUAGAAAUGGUCAUUCAAGUCAAG